rfam:Dipodomys ordii contig_14158, whole genome shotgun sequence.
GGAGGUAAGGGCAGUCUGGCUGCGACAUCUGUCACCCCAUUGAUUGCCAAGUUUGAUUUAGCUGAUCUGGCUGGCUAGGCGGCUGUCCCCUUCUUCCCUCCCUGCUCCAUGUGUGUCCCUCCCAAAGCUGCACGAUCCAUCUAAUAGGACCAGUCUUCAGUCAAAUAUAUGAGUAGCUAUGCUGCCCUGCUAGAAUCUCCAAACCAGCUCUUAAGGUACAAGUACUUUUUUUUUUUUCUUGGUUGUGGGGCCUGCAUUCUGGGCCUUGGCUCUG